rnacentral:lncRNA from 1 species
UCAUCACCUCGGUACAGGAUACAAUGAUUUCUACACGCAUGGAUCUUCUCGACACCCAUAGUCAGCGGACUGAUCAGCUUCUUUGCAUAGUAUGUGUUAGCAGGCACUUUGUUCUCCUUUGGAAGCAUAUCGCCGAUAAUACUUAAGAACGCAUCGAAUCCAGCAUCAGACAAACCAUACCUGGCUUUUGCCAUCAACAGUUUUAGCACAGCUCGCAACGUUGUGUACUCUUUGGUACAACCUUUAGACUCAUCAUACAAAGGCUCUUCUGCUGCCUUCUUCAAGGCCUCCA